AGAACGGACGCUGGCGGCAUGCCUAACACAUGCAAGUCGAACGAGACCUUCGGGUCUAGUGGCGCACGGGUGCGUAACGCGUGGGAAUCUGCCCUUAGGUACGGAAUAACAGUGAGAAAUUACUGCUAAUACCGUAUGAUGUCUUCGGACCAAAGAUUUAUCGCCUAGGGAUGAGCCCGCGUAGGAUUAGCUAGUUGGUGGGGUAAAGCCUACCAAGGCUACGAUCCUUAGCUGGUCUGAGAGGAUGAUCAGCCACACUGGGACUGAGACACGGCCCAGACUCCUACGGGAGGCAGCAGUGGGGAAUAUUGGACAAUGGGCGAAAGCCUGAUCCAGCAAUGCCGCGUGAGUGAAGAAGGCCUUCGGGUUGUAAAGCUCUUUUACCCGGGAAGAUAAUGACUGUACCGGGAGAAUAAGCCCGGCUAACUCCGCGCCAGCAGCCGC
rnacentral:rRNA from 1 species